rnacentral:lncRNA from 1 species
AAUUUGACUAAAAUGCUAGAAUUGUGAAGAUUUCAGUAAUUUAGCAUGACUUACUGGUGCUAGUACCCGAUAUAUGUGCAUUGUAUUGUCAAAAACAGCCCAUAUUAAUGUAGUAGAAGCAUUCUACUGUCCAAUAGAUAACUAAAAGUGUACAUUUUAACAAUUUUGUAAAACUGCUUUAUUUUGGGGCCAAAAAGGGGUCUUACUGGACCUACUCCUUU